rnacentral:lncRNA from 1 species
AUGGCUGCAGUCACCAUCUGCAGUGAUUUUGGAGCCCCCAAAAAUAAAGACACUAUGUCUAUAAUGUCUUUUCUCCCACAGGGGCUCCUUGGAGCCUUCAUGGACCCCCUACGAGAACGUUAUCUACCCCCUCCAACUCCAUCUGAUGCAGGAGAAACACUGAGGCUCAGAGAGGAGAUGGACUUACCCAGACUCCCCAGAGGGAAAGGGGCAAGGAUGGAGGUGGAAAGGCCUGAGCUACAUUCUGCUGUCAAGGGUCUUAGAUGCCGAGAUGGAGGUGUCAUACCUACCCCAUCGGGUGAUGAUGAAAAUUACAUGACACUAUGCAGAAAGGGCAUCGGUUCCCAUCGCCUGCACCACCGAAAAGCUUCUGCAAGUGCAAAAAGUCACAUUAUUUGUUAGUCACAGGAACAGAGACUACAAGAGACUGAACUGAAGCCACACGGCAGGCAGAGCUGAGGAGGGACCAAGACUCCCGCUUGGUAACUUUAGCAAGAGGUGGCAAAGCGCAGGGCUGUGCGCGAGGCCCUGGAGUCAGGCUAAUGGCCUGCCACUCACAAGCUCGGUGACCUGAGGCAGCUUCCUAAGCUUCUCUGUGCCUCCUGUUCUCCAUCUGUAAAAUGAAGAUUAUAAUAGCACACCGGUCCCCGUAGGGUUGCUGGAAGCAGUUAAUUUGUGUCAAGUGCUUGGAGGAGUGCCUUCGUGGAGUACCAAGAAAACAGUUCAGAUAGUGCUGUGUGACCUUCAGCAAGUCCCUUCCCUCUCUGGGCCUCUGCUUCACCCCUGGAAAACGAAUCGUUAGACUAGUUCAGCCAGAGGUUCCCUCCUUCUGGCUUUGACGUCUGUCAUUCUGGGGAGUGGAGGCGCGAUCCCCACUGUUUCGGUCCUCACACCCCUGAGGGCAGGGUCCCUCUUCAGCCCCUGUCUACCCUUCUCCUCUCCCCUGUUCCAGGAGAGACACAGGCACCAGAGGAGGGGGUGGUGCUGGCGGUGAAGGAGCAGGGAGGCAGCCCAGGCUGGGGCAGUGGGAGGGGAUAGACGCCUCCGACCAGCUCUCUUUCCGGUUCCCACUGCUCUCUGUGCCCCGGGGGUGGGCAGGCCCCUGCUCCCCUCUGACCCGGGAGGGUGCCUACCAAGGCAGGGCUGGCUUGCCCCCUCCAUCAGGACGGAGGAACCCCCAGGGGAGUCCCCUCCUUGGCUUGGCAGAGUCAGGCAGACUUUGCCCAAGAAUGAAGACAGCAGAGACCAGGAACCGAGCCCUGACAGCUGGGGAGCCUCAGGCCGGGGGACCCCCCAUUCUCUGAGCCUGUCUUGGGGUCAGCGCAGACUAGGCCAUGUCUUGGGCCCUCCUGGACCUGGUGACACAGAUGUCACAACCCAGGGAGGUAAGAGCUCAAAGUUC